AUAUUCCUGCCCUGUUUGCGGAACGAUUUUUUAUCUGGACCCUUUUAGACCCACAUUUAUAAUAAGGGACGCCAUAUUCCUGCGCGGAUUGCAGGCCUCCCGGUACCAUGGACUGGAAGUUGGAAGCGAGGUAGCACAGGAGAGGCGACCCACCUGCCGAGUUGUGCAGGUUAUAAUUGGGUCCCCACGGCAGCGGCGGGGUUGCC
rnacentral:other from 1 species